GUUUCUGUAGCAUAGUGGUUAUCAUGUUUGUCUAACAUGUAAAAGGUCCCCAGUUCAAAACUGAGCAGAAACA
rnacentral:tRNA from 1 species